GAUGAACGCUGGCGGCGUGCUUAACACAUUCAAGUCGUACGAACUGAUUCUGAAGCUUGCUUCGGAAGAAAGUUAGUGGCGGACGGGUGAGUAACGCGUGAGCAACCUGCCUUUGUGAGGGGGAUAACACAGGGAAACUUGUGCUAAUACCGCAUGAUGCAUAUGAAAGACAUCUUUAGUAUGUUAAAGGAGCAAUCCGCACAAAGAUGGGCUCGCGUCUGAUUAGAUAGUUGGUGGGGUAACGGCCUACCAAGUCGACGAUCAGUAGCCGGACUGAGAGGUUGAACGGCCACAUUGGAACUGAGAAACGGUCCAGACUCCUACGGGAGGCAGCAGUGGGGAAUAUUGGGCAAUGGGCGAAAGCCUGACCCAGCGACGCCGCGUGAGGGAAGAAGGUCUUCGGAUUGUAAACCUUUGUAGACAGGGAAGAAGAAAGUGACGGUACCUGUAAAGUAAGCCACGGCUAACUACGUG
rnacentral:rRNA from 1 species